rnacentral:rRNA from 1 species
UGCGUAGGCGGAUUAAUAAGUCAGUGGUGAAAACCUGCAGCUUAACUGCAGACCUGCCAUUGAUACUGUUAGUCUUGAGUACGGUCAAGGUAGGCGGAAUGUGUAAUAUAGCGGUGAAAUGCUUAGAUAUUACACAGAACACCGAUUGCGAAGGCAGCUUACUGGGCCAUUACUGACGCUGAGGCACGAAAGCGUGGGGAGCGAACAGGAUUAGAUACCCUGGUAGUCC